UGUCUUAAGUAGUGCUCUUUUCCUUCAUAUUAUUAUAAUCGCUCUUGUUUGAGAUUGUAUUAAUAUAAAUGCCAUUAAUGUCCUCGUGUAAGAAUGUCUUGAUUUUUGUGUAUGCCUUUAAAUGAGCUAUUUCUGUCAUUGUUGGUGUAUUUCUCCCAUUGCUUGAUAAUGAUCAGUGGGGGUGAGAGCAUUUCAUAGCAGUGCCUCUUCUGUCCACUAGGGAGCAGUCACACACCCCAGGUCUCUCCUCAUUCUCUUUUUUUUCCUCUCUAGAGAUUUUAUAACUGACGUUGAUCUGGCCAUUAGCAGUCACUCUGGAGUAAACAGUUUAGAGGCAGGUUGUCUGAUCCUACAGGACAAUAUGAUGACUUUAGACAAAACCCUGUUUUUGCACUCUGAAGUCUUACGAUGUGUCCCUUCCUGUCUGUGACCUGUGUGAUCUGAUGUAGAGAUCCUAGUGGCUGACACGGACGGCACAGUGUUCCUAUUGGCUAUCACAGACCCCACAGUGUUCCUAUUGGCUAUCACAGACCACACAGUGUUCUUAUUGGCUAUCACAGACCACACAGUGUUCUUAUUGGCUAUCACAGACCACACAGAGUUUCUAUUGACUAUCACAGACCACACAGUGUUCCUAUUGGCUACCACAGACCACACAGUGUUCUUAUUGGCUAUCGCAGACCACACAGUGUUCCUAUUGGCUACCACAGACCACACAGUGUUCCUAUAGGCUACCACAGACCACUCCUAAAGACAUCUCUCCUAGAGACAUCUCUCCUAGACAUCUCUCCUAGACAACUCUCCUAAAGACAUCUCUCCUAGACAACUCUCCUAAAGACAUAUCUCCUAGCCAUCUCUCCUAAAGACAGCUCUCCUAGACAACUCUCCUAAAGACAGGUCUCCUAGCCAUCUCUCCUAAAGACAUCUCUCCUAGAGACAUCUCUCCUAAAGACAUCUCUCCUAAAGACAGGUCUUAUAGCCCCGUUGUAUUGACGCUGGGCUGACGCGUGUUCUAUACCAUCUUAAUGUACAGGUAACAGGGCUAAUUCAGUGAACAGUCAUUAUUGUAUUUAUUCAUGUCUACUCUAUAUGUUGGCCGUAGUGUGAUAAGGACAGCGCUACUCAGAAGGGCCGGACUAACAAAUGACACAUUAACAUCAAAUAAAUAACAUAAAUGUAUUGUUUUAUUUAAGGCCUUCUCCGCUACUUUGUUCACAGUGAAUAAUAUGAUACUCUACCUGUUAUGAUGAAUACAUAAGGGUUAAAAAGAUAGCUGAACGGAGAUGAACACUGUAGCCCGUUUGCAGUCAGAAGAUAACUGAACAGAGAUGAACACUGUAGCCAGUUUGCAGUCAGAAGAUAGCUGAACGGAGAUGAACACUGUAGCCAGUUUGCAGUCAGAAGAUAACUGAACGGAGAUGAACACUGUAGCCAGUUUGCAGUCGAAAUAGCUGAACGGAGAUGAACACUGUAACCUUUGCAGUCAGAAGAUAACUGAACGGAGAGAUUAACACUGUAGCCAGUUUGCAGUCAGAAAUAACUGAAAGGAGAUGAACACUGUAGCCCAGUUUGCAGUCAGAAGAUAGACUGAACGG
ensembl:lncRNA